rnacentral:rRNA from 1 species
GGUUGAUCCUGCCAGUAGUCAUAUGCUUGUCCCAAAGAUUAAGCCAUGCAUGUCUAAGUAUAAACCAAUUUAUACGGUGAAACUGCGAAUGGCUCAUUAAAUCAGUUAUAAUUUAUUUGAUGGUCUCUUUACUACUUGGAUAACCGUGGUAAUUCUAGAGCUAAUACAUGCAAAAAACCCGACUUCUGGAAGGGUUGUAUUUAUUAGAUAAAAAACCAAUGCCAUUUUUGGCUAUUUGGUGAUUCAUAAUAACUUUGCGGAUCGUAUGGCCUUUGAGCUGACGACGCUUCAUU